UAGAUAGAGAAAAAAGUGGGAAGAUUCAAUUUUGGUAUCGCACACACCGUAAAGAGGGGAGACUUUAAGAGCUCUAUCUCUAGAGGGGCUUAUGCGCUCCACUCCCUGUCUACUAAAUGAGUGUGUUAGAGCGAGCGAGUGUGAAAAACCCUGCUACUCCACUACCGAGCAGAGGUAAAAAUACGAUAAGUAGAUACAUAAUUUCGAGUG
rnacentral:lncRNA from 1 species